UGGGGUCCCGGCACACAGGAUCAGGGACAGCUUAGGUCCCGUGAACACAGAAUUAGAGUCUGCAGGUGGCUACCAACCUGCUGGGGCCACAGCAGGACCUUGGGCAGGCAGCAAGGUGGCCAGGUUCUACCACUGAUCCUCAACACCCUGCUCAGGGCCAGCAUAGGAAUUGGCUUCCAGGGCAUGGCCAGCCUCCGUCCCGCUCUGUGCUUUGCAAUUACUUCCAAUAUUACAUAGUUAUUCAGCAAUUGUGACUCUACAAAACCAGUUACCGAAAGUUUCCUAGUUCUGCCUUGGUCAUUUGUUCUACUGCCUAAUAACGUCUCUAUCUGCAGGUUUUCUAGGCAACCGUGCUCGAACAUAGGUGGCCAUGGCAGGUGGAUUCUGUGAGAAGCGGGAGUCUUUGAGCAGAGGGCCUAUACAGAGACUGUGAGGCUGAGUCUGCCCAGCCAUUGGGAGCAGAGUUGGGGUGAUACAGGAUGAAGCUCUUGGGGACCCUGGACCCCUACUUACAAGUCAUAUAUGUUGGGCUGGAGAGAUGGCUCAACAGUUAAGAACACCGACUGCUCUUCCAGAGGUCCUGAGUUCAAUUCCCAGCAGCCACAUGAUAGCUCACAACCAUCUGUUAUGGGAUCUGAUGCCCUCUUCUGCUGUGUCUGAAGAGAGCAAUGGUGUACUCACAUACAUAAAAUAAGUGAAUAAAUCUUUUUUUUUUUUUUAGAAAGAAGUCAUAUGUUUCUG
rnacentral:lncRNA from 1 species